GGCUGUCGUCAGCUCGUGUCGUGAGAUGUUCGGUUAAGUCCGCUACGAGCGCAACCCUCGUCGUAUGUUAUAUGUGUCAUACGAGACUGCCGGUAAAAAGCCGGAGGAAGGUGAGGAUGAUGUCAAGUCAGCAUGACCUUUAUAUCCAGGGCUACACACACGCUACAAUGGUCUGUACAAUGGGUAGCCAAGCCGCGAGGCGGAGCCAAUCCUGAAAGCAGGCCUCAGUUCAGAUUGCAGUCUGCAACUCGACUGCAUGAAGCCGGAGUUGCUAGUAACCGCAGGUCAGCAAUACUGCGGUGAAUACGUUCCCGGGUCUU
rnacentral:rRNA from 1 species